ACUUCAGCCCUCUCCACGGUACCUGAAAAGAUGGUUGACCAUAGAACAUGCGCUGUCUCUGUGUCGUAUGUAAUAUGGUCCACGUCUUCUCAAUAUCAAAUUCGGUCAUAGAGGGCG
rnacentral:pre_miRNA from 15 species